GGGUCAUGUGCCGGCGUCUUACACAUGCAGUCGAACGAUGAAGCCCAGCUUGCUGGGUGGAUUAGUGGCGAACGGGUGAGUAACACGUGAGUAACCUGCCCCCGACUCUGGGAUAAGCCCGGGAAACUGGGUCUAAUACCGGAUAUGACCUCGCACCGCAUGGUGCGGGGUGGAAAGAUUUAUCGGUGGGGGAUGGACUCGCGGCCUAUCAGCUUGUUGGUGAGGUAAUGGCUCACCAAGGCGACGACGGGUAGCCGGCCUGAGAGGGUGACCGGCCACACUGGGACUGAGACACGGCCCAGACUCCUACGGGAGGCAGCAGUGGGGAAUAUUGCACAAUGGGCGAAAGCCUGAUGCAGCGACGCCGCGUGAGGGAUGACGGCCUUCGGGUUGUAAACCUCUUUCAGUAGGGAAGAAGCGAAAGUGACGGUACCUGCAGAAGAAGCGCCGGCUAACUACGUGCCAGCAGCCGCGGUAAUACGUAGGGCGCAAGCGUUAUCCGGAUUUAUUGGGCGUAAAGAGCUCGUAGGCGGUUUGUCGCGUCUGCCGUGAAAGUCCGAGGCUCAACCUCGGAUCUGCGGUGGGUACGGGCAGACUAGAGUGAUGUAGGGGAGACUGGAAUUCCUGGUGUAGCGGUGAAAUGCGCAGAUAUCAGGAGGAACACCGAUGGCGAAGGCAGGUCUCUGGGCAUUUACUGACGCUGAGGAGCGAAAGCAUGGGGAGCGAACAGGAUUAGAUACCCUGGUAGUCCAUGCCGUAAACGUUGGGCACUAGGUGUGGGGGGACAUUCCACGUUUUCCGCGCCGUAGCUAACGGCAUUAAGUGCCCCGCCUGGGGGAGUACGGCCGCAAGGCUAAAACUCAAAGGAAUUGACGGGGGGCCCGCACAAGCGGCGGAGCAUGCGGAUUAAUUUCGGAUGCAACGCGAAGAACUCUUACCAAGGCUGUGACAUGGUGCCAGACCGCUCCAGAGAUGGGGGUUUCCCCUUCCGGGGCUGGUU
rnacentral:rRNA from 1 species